UUUUUUUUUUUUUUUAAGUUUUUUUUGGUUAAGAGAUUUGAGCUUCAAUUUGAACUUUACAUAGCAUUUUGUUUUCCUCCUUUUGGAGCACUUUCUGUUCUAAGUUUUGUAAAUAUAGAGUAGAUCAUUUUUAUAGCCUGAGUGCCCUCAUCUUCGGAGUGUUUUUUGGUUUAUUAAAUUUCAUAGUUCUUAGUAUUAAGAUUAGAGUAGCCUUUUCCUCCUUCAGGAGCGCCUUUUUGUUAUUUCUUUGUAUUGUCCGUUGGACCCAUAGAUUUUCAUAGCCUGUUCUGUUGUCAUUCUGUCAUAAUUUCUGCCAACCUGCAUCUGAGUCCUCUUUUUCUGCCCAAGCCUGACAGUAUACUCUGGCCAGUUAUGGACUCAGCAGAGGCAGUGCGACUUUCGGAGAUCCAGGAGGCUCGUCUCAAUAGCCAGGAGGAGUUUCAAACAGCCAUGACAGCCAAUAUGGGUCACUUCUCCUCUCAGCUGCAAGAGCUACUGGGACAGCUCAAUCGGCCGAGCACCGCAGCUCUGACUCCGACUGCCCCAGCUUCCCCGGAGACUCCCAUGCACACCGGUGGAGCUUCCUGCAAACGGGUGCCACCUACUCUGUACAUGGGGGAGCCUGGGCUUUGCAAAGCUUUCUUAAUUGAUUGCUCAAUUCAUUUCGAGCUACUGCCGCACGCCUUCCCCACCGAGCGAGCGAAAGUAGCGCCCACUUGACGGGUCGGGCCAAAGCUUGGGCUUCCGCCGAGUAGGGCAGGGGGUCCACGAUCUGUGACACAGUAACGGGAUUUCAAACAGCUCUCACCAAGACCUUUGAUCCCGUAAGCUCUUGCUGAGAAAAAGCCCAGGAAUUAAGCACUUUGAAACAAGGUAAAAACUUUGACUACGCCAUUCACUUCCGCACUCUGGCUGCUGAGAGCGGAUGGAACAACUCCGCCUUGUAUAACAUUUUUCUAAAAGGCUUGGCACCCGCAAUUCAAGAUCUCCUCAUUCCCCUGGAUUUACCGACUGGUCUGGAUGCACUCAUCGCACUUGCCAUUCGUACUGACAAUCGACGAUCUCAACUCCAAGGACAGCGUGAACCGAAGCAGAGUCUCGGGAGGAGUUACUACUGCACCGGAGUUAAGAUGGCCGACAUCUCAUCGAUCACCGCCUGAAACUCCUUCUCACCUGCAAACAGCACCAGACGACGAGGCCAUGCAACUGGGCAGAGCUCAGUUGAUGCAGGAGGAAUGACAGAUGGCAAUAGGAGGGAAGGUGCUUCUAUUGUGGCGGCGUUGGUCAUCUUGUCAGCUCCUGUCUGACCAAGAAACCUCAAUCGGGCCUGAGAGAGGCUAUGAACUACAUCACCGGCUCACUGGAAGCAGGAUUGAUCCGCUCCUCAUCUUCACCCACUGAAGCAGGAUUCUUCUUCGUGGGGGAGAAAGGACGGCUCUCUAUGCUCCUGCAUUGACUACAGUCCUCUGAACGACAUCGCCAUCAAAAACCGGCCGGGAUCCCGAAACAUCAAACCAGAUGUCUUGUCAUGCCUAUUCGAUCCCGAGCCUAAGACCAAGCAAACGGAAACUAUCCUUCCUCUGAAUUGUGUGGUUGGAGUGGUGACUUGGCCUAUAGAAAACGAGGUAAAGCAAGCUAAUGGUGGAGCCCCAUCACCACAGUUGUCCCAACAACUGUCUUUUGUCCCUGCUGCGCUACAACCACAGGUGAUUCAUUGGGCCUACACCUCGCUGCUUUCGUGUCAUCCGGGAGUCAAAAGAACCAUGUUCGUCAUUUCCCAGAGGUCAUGGUGGCCCACGAUGGAGCCGGAGGUCCGGGAGUACAUCGAGGCUUGUCCGGUCUGUGCACAAAAUAAGACAUCUUCCAAGGCACGCAUGGGGCUACUUCAACCACUCCCCAUUCCCUCCAGAUCAUAUCCAUUGACAAGGAAAAACACCAA